GGCCGGGGCCAGAGGAGAAGGAGGAUGAGAGCGGAGCGGAGGAGCGCGGCAUGUCCGCGGGACGCGCGGCUCACACGGGGAGGGCAUGGGGACGCCAGCAGCAUGGUUCAAGGACAGAACGGGACUGACGUCACCAAACGACGACGCAGCAGCAGAUCAGUAGUUAUCGAGAGAAACAGAGGAGAAACAGAGGAGUCUUCCUGCCACGGAUCCGGAGAGCAGGGCAGCGCAGACAGCGACAGGAGAGGGUAUUAACCUUUCUCCCGCUGAGAGCCAGGAAGUGGGUGGUGACGGCACACGGAGAGGAGAUGGAACCGAGCGGGAAGGAGGGUGAAGCCGGAGUUGCAGCUGUAGUAGAGCACCGUCCCCUCCGCCGGGGGCCCCGGGGGCCGCGCCGUCACCCUGCCGUUCUCCAGGGACGUCCACACCUUGGGGCACUGCAGCACUGAGGGGGAGCAGAGCAGAAGGCCGGAGAUAUGAAUCCAGACCUGCAGCCGCCUGACCCUGGAUGGGUCAAACAGCAGCUUUCACACACCUGUGCAGCAAAGAUGAUUCAGAUGACCCAGCUUUUCACCAGCACUUAAACGCAGCACUGCGAUAGCAUGAAGAAAACCUCCAAACCUGGAGACUCAAACGCACCACAGAAACAACCUCAGCAUGUCGUAUGAAGGAUAAAACACAAAUUAUUUAAAUGUAACUAAAUCAGAUCCAGUUUAAAAAUAACAUUUAAUUGAGUUUUGUCAUUUUUUCAUACAGCAGUUGAGAUAUUAAAAAUAUCAUGUAUAUUUAGUAGAUGAAGAAAAAUGAAAAGAAGGAAACAACUUACCAAAAAAAAUCCAAAAACAGGAGAUACAGAGAAACCAGGAAGUAACGACAAGGAGAGGAGACGAGCCAAACCUGAGAAUGAGGAGCUUAAAUACUGGGAGGCUGGUAGUGGGAACACUGGACCCGUGCUGAUGAGUUAACUGACUGCAGGUGCCUCGGUAGCGGAUCCCUCCGUCCCGCGGAGGCCGGAUGAUGGCACAGCCUGCACAGGAAGAGACAGGAUGAAGGACAGGAAGAGGACAGGAGGACAGCAGGGGACAUCUGUCUUCAGGUCCCGGAGGAGUCCUGGAGGAAGUUCAUCCGUCAUAAGGAUCAUGAUCCCUCAGUCGCACACAGGAGCAGCUAAAGCAAAGGAGCUGGAGGAGCAGAACUGACACCUGAUGAUGAUGAUGAUGAUGAUGAUGAUGAUGAUGAUGAUGAUGAUGAUGAUGAUGAUGAUGAUGAUGAUGAUGAUGAUGGAAUAUCGUCUCUGCAGCCCGAAUGUUGAGCUGUUAGCAACAUGCUAGCAGUCUUCAGUCAGAGGCUUCUUUAGAUUGGUUACGAGACUGACUGCUACUGGAGAUUCUUCCUCCCCACAGCAUCAGGAGCCACAUGAUGAUUUGAGUUAUGAUAAUAUCUAACUUCCGUUUGGGAUGAAUAGAAGAUUUUUUUAAUUUGAAUUAAAUUGAGAAAGACAGGGAGAGGCUGGUUCUGCAAACAGAUCCAGAUGUUAUCACAGUGAGCAGCCAUGGUUCUUAUGCCAGAACUAAACAUGUCGUUUAGAAAAGCAAUGGGUCCAAAUCCAGAACCCUGUGGAACACCAACUGUGUGAAACUACCUGACAUAUAUCUAUAAAAACAUUUUAUGGUCUGUAAUCUCUGGUUAGAACAAGAUCAAUAAAAUCUCCAGAAACACUUGAACAGAUCUGAGGAGAUUCUGAGGAAGGUGGUGUAACUGGGUUUGGAUCAGAACUUUUCCGUAACAUCAGUGUUCUUAAUGACCGGCUGAAUGGCAGAAGCUGCUGCUUCUUCAUUUCCUUCCUUCCUGGCAGAGAGGAGGACUGAAGGAAGUCCCGAUGCGUCCACCAGCGGAGCGGGAAGGAAAGCAGGCCGAACCGGUUCGGCUCGGUCCAUCAGCUGUGAGGACGGCCGGGGAAUUCCAGCCAGCGCCUCGGAACCAGCGCAGGCCUGACAGACGGAGCCCCACCGCCCAGCAACGGGCUGCCGGCCGGAAGCUGCCGAUCCGGCUCGGUUUCAGCACCGCGGACAGCGUCCACCCCGCUGCUUCACGCAGAGACCCGCAAAAUGCUGCAUUUCGUGCGUGGCUGAGCGUGAACCGCGGGUCACGGCGCGGCUGCCGGCGGUUCCUGCUCAGGGAGUCCGUGGCGGCCUGCAGGGGAAGCCGAGCCUCCCGCUCGCUGGGAAACCUGACCCAGAAUGUCACCGUCUAAUCUCUGGAACAACGCGAGCAUCGCUCCCGCUCGGGCCUGGCGGCUCCAUCGAAUAUGCAUCCAGCCUUCUGCAUUCACAGCCACAUCUGCCCGGAUCCGCUGCAGCCGCAGUGGAUCUGGACCGGAAAGCCGAGCCUCGGGUACUUACUGUCGGUUCGAUGGCUCCCAGUCCAGACCAGUCCUCCCAGUGAGUCGGAUUAGUGGGCAGAAAGGUGCAUCCUCCUCGCGCUCUGCAUGGCUCUGUUAUUAUGGCUUUGCAGUAAAUGAGCGAGCAGCUCCGCGCGUAAACAGCGCUGGUCCGGGUUAUUUCCAAGUAUUGCAAAGAGAUGACAAGAAGGGAAAAAAAUCCACUCACUCACACACACACACACACCCACACACACACACACACA